rnacentral:rRNA from 1 species
GUUCCUACGGGAGGCAGCAGUGGGGAAUAUUGGGCAAUGGGCGAAAGCCUGACCCAGCAAUGCCGCGUGAAUGAAGAAGGUCUUAGGAUUGUAAAAUUCUGUCCUAUGGGAAGAAACAAAUGACGGUACCAUAGGAGGAAGCUCCGGCUAACUCCGUGCCAGCAGCCGCGGUAAUACGGAGGGUGCGAGCGUUAAUCGGAAUUACUGGGCGUAAAGCGCUCGUAGGCGGUAUGUCAAGUCAAGGGUGAAAUCCCCGCGCUCAACGUGGGAACUGCCUUUGAAACUGGCAAACUGGAGUGUGUGAG